rnacentral:rRNA from 1 species
AUUGAACGCUGGCGGCAUGCCUUACACAUGCAAGUCGAACGGCAGCAUGAUCUAGCUUGCUAGAUUGAUGGCGAGUGGCGGACGGGUGAGUAAUACAUCGGAACGUGCCCUGUAGUGGGGGAUAACUAGUCGAAAGAUUAGCUAAUACCGCAUACGACCUGAGGGUGAAAGUGGGGGACCGCAAGGCCUCAUGCUAUAGGAGCGGCCGAUGUCUGAUUAGCUAGUUGGUGAGGUAAAGGCUCACCAGGGCGACGAUCAGUAGCUGGUCUGAGAGGACGAUCAGCCACACUGGGACUGAGACACGGCCCAGACUCCUACGGGAGGCAGCAGUGGGGAAUUUUGGACAAUGGGCGAAAGCCUGAUCCAGCAAUGCCGCGUGUGUGAAGAAGGCCUUCGGGUUGUAAAGCACUUUUGUCCGGAAAGAAAUGGCUCUGGUUAAUACCUGGGGUCGAUGACGGUACCGGAAGAAUAAGGACCGGCUAACUACGUG